rnacentral:tRNA from 1 species
UGGCUCAGAAGUUAAGAACACUGGACUGCUAUUCCAGAAAUCCUGAGUUCAAUUCCCAG